rnacentral:rRNA from 1 species
GACGUAGGGCGCAAGCGUUUGUCCGGAUUUAUUGGGCGUAAAGAGCUCGUAGGCGGCUUGUUGCGUCGACCGUGAAAAACCCGUGGCUCAACUGCGGGCUUCGGUGAUACGGGCGGGCUAGAGUUCGGUAGGGGGAGACUGGAAUUCCUGGUGUAGCGGUGAAAUGCGCAGAUAUCAGGAGGAACACCGGUGGCGAAGGCGGGUCUCUGGGCCAUACUGACGCUGAGGAGCGAAAGCGUGGGGGAGCAAACGG